rnacentral:rRNA from 1 species
AUUGAACGCUGGCGGCAGGCCUAACACAUGCAAGUCGAACGAGUGGCGGACGGGUGAGUAAUGUCUGGGAAACUGCCCGAUGGAGGGGGAUAACUACUGGAAACGGUAGCUAAUACCGCAUACCAUCGGAUGUGCCCAGAUGGGAUUAGCUUGUAGGUGAGGUAACGGCUCACCUAGGCGACGAUCCCUAGCUGGGCUGAGAGGAUGACCAGCCACACGGGAACUGAGAAACGGUCCAGACUCCGACGUGAGGAAGAAGGUGGGUAUAUUGCACAAUGUGGGCAAGCCUGAUGCAGCCAUGCCGCGGGUAUGAAGAAGGCCUUCGGGUUGUAAAGUACUUUCAGCGGGGAGGCGUUACCCGCAGAAGAAGCACCGGCUAACUCCGUGCCAGCAGCCGCGGUAAUAC